ACGAAGGGGGCUAGCGUUGUUCGGAAUUACUGGGCGUAAAGCGCACGUAGGCGGGUCGUUAAGUCAGGGGUGAAAUCCCAGAGCUCAACUCUGGAACUGCCUUUGAUACUGGCGACCUAGAGUCCGGAAGAGGUUAGUGGAAUUCCCAAUGUAGGGGUGAAAUCCGUAGAUAUUGGGAGGAAUACCGGUGGCGAAGGCGGCCUUCUGGACGGUGACUGACACUCAGACGCGAAAGCGUGGGGAGCAAACAGGA
rnacentral:rRNA from 1 species